CCCUGUCGUAUGUUGCCAGCAUUUAGUUGGGACUCAUACGAGACUGCCGGCGUCGAAGCCGGAGGAAGGUGGGAUGACGUCAAGUCAUCAUGCCCUUAUGUCCUGGGCUGCACACGUGCUACAAUGGCCGGUACAAUGGGCUGCGAUGCCGCGAGGCGGAGCGAAUCCCAUAAAACCGGCCCAGUUCGGAUCGGAGGCUGCAACCUCGACUGCGUGAAGUUGGAAUCGCUAGUAAUCGUGGAUCAGCAUGCCACGGUGAAUUACCGGUUCCCGGUCCUU
rnacentral:rRNA from 1 species